GCCCCAGGUCUCCGCUCUCCGAGGCAGCUGGUGCCAUGGGAAGAGAAACGCUUUUGGUGUGGGCUCAGCACACCUCUCACUAGUGCGUGGACUGCACACCUCCUUCCUUCACAAGCCGCUGUUUCCCCGUCUUUGAAAAGGGGAUGAGGACCCCCACCCCACAGUGCUGCUGAGGGGAUGUGGCCAAACCGCACAGCCAAGUGCCGGGCGCCUAGCUGGGCCUCAGUGGGGAUGAGGAAACUGAGGCACAGGGCGGUCCAGUCAUGUGUCAGCCAGUGGUGAAGCUAGGAGCCCCUUCACUAAGCACAGUGUUAUCUUGCUUCUCCUCCAACGUUGCUCAGCGUCUGAAAUUCAGCUUGAUGUAUUUAAGUCAGACACAAGAAAGGACUUCCAGACCAAGGAGUUUAGAUGCAGAAAUGGGAGGGCAGCAGAAAAGGCCGAUUCAGCACGGACCAGAGAAUAACACAGGGAGGCGCAUUACUGGCCCUCUCUCUCUCUGCAUUCUUGAAGGCACCUAGAGGAAAGCUCUCUAGAAGAGGGGCAGUUGGGGCUGGGCAUGGUGUCUCACCCCUGUAAUCCCAGCAUUUUGGGAGGCCGAGGCGGGCGGAUCACCUGAGGUCGGGAGUUCGAGGCCAGCCUGACCAACAUGGAGAAAUCCCGUCU